rnacentral:tRNA from 1 species
GGUUGUGGCUCAGUGUAGAGCACUUGCCUAGCAUGUGUGCAGCCCUGGGUUCGAUCCUCAGCACCA